rnacentral:rRNA from 1 species
GUUCGUUUGUUCAACGAUUAAAGUCCUACGUGAUCUGAGUUCAGACCGGAGCAAUCCAGGUCAGUUUCUAUCUAUGAUAUACCCUUUUCUAGUACGAAAGGACCGAAAAGGGAGGGUCACUAUAUUUUAUAUACCCUACCCCCACCUAAUGAAAACAACUAAAAUAGACAAGGGGGUAUGUCUUCCCCGCCAGAGAAAAUGGCAU